UACGUAGGGGGCGAGCGUUGUCCGGAUUUAUUGGGCGUAAAGAGCUCGUAGGCGGUUUGGCAAGUCGGGUGUGAAAACUCCGGGCUCAACUCGGAGACGCCACUCGAUACUGCCAUGACUCGAGUCCGGUAGGGGAGUGCGGAAUUCCUGGUGUAGCGGUGAAAUGCGCAGAUAUCAGGAGGAACACCGGUGGCGAAGGCGGAUCUCUGGGCCGAUACUGACGCUGAGGAGCGAAAGCGUGGGGAGCGAACAGG
rnacentral:rRNA from 1 species